rnacentral:rRNA from 1 species
AUGUCCUCAUUCACCGUUCUUCCGGUCAUGCUGCAGCUAUUCAUGCUGCUCUUCUUAGCCUCUCCCGCCACCCCAUGCACCGAGCAGGAGAAGGACAACCUCCUCCAGUUCCUUGCCGGGCUGUCGCGUGAUGGUGGCCUCACCACGUCCUGGCGUAACAGCGGCACAGACUGCUGCGAAUGGGAAGGCAUCUCCUGCAAUGGAGAUGGGGCCGUCACUGGGGUCUCCCUGGAGUCUAAAGGACUUGAGGGGCCCAUCUCACCGUUCCUCGCCAACCUCACCAGCCUGCUGCGUGUUAACCUCUCGCACAACUCAUUCUCCGGUGGUCUUCCAGCGGAGCUCAUGUUCUCUGGAAGCAUCAUCGUCCUCGAUGUCAGCUUCAGCCGGCUCAACGGACCGCUGCCCAAGCUUCCGUCGUUGGUUACCACCAACCGGCCUCUGCAGGUACUCAACAUCUCAAGCAACCUGUUCAGCUCACAAUUUCCAUCAGCCACAUGGAAGGUGAUGGACAGUCUAAUCGCACUCAACGCCAGCAAUAACAGCUUCACUGGGAACAUACCGUCUUCUCCCUGCCUUGGGUCGCCAUAUUUGGCAUUGCUUGACCUAUGUUACAACCAAUUGAGUGGUGACAUACCAAACACGCUGGGUAAUUGUUCCAAGCUCAAAGUGCUCAAGGCUGGCAACAACAACCUAAGUGGGAUUCUCCCUGUUGAAACCUUCCACGCUACCUUGCUGGAGUACCUCUCCUUCCCCAACAAUGCUUUACAAGGAAAACUUGAUGGAGCACAUAUAGUCAAACUCAGUAAUCUAGCUACUCUUGACCUUGGAGGGAAUCACUUCAGUGGCAAGAUUCCGCUGUUGAUAGGUCUGCUCAAGAGGCUGGAGGAGCUCCAUUUGGGUAGCAAUAACAUGUCUGGGGAGCUGCCAUCAACUCUGGGCAACUGUACAAAUCUCAGAAUCAUUGAUCUAAAGUUCAACAACUUCAUCGGAGAUCUAGGGAAGGUAAACUUCGCCAUCCUACAGAAUCUGAAAAGUUUAGAUCUCAUGAGGAAUAAUCUCAGUGGUAUGGUUCCAGAAAGCAUUUACUCAUGCAGCAAUUUGACAGCACUGCAGCUGUCGGACAACCAUUUCCGUGGUGAAAUCUCAUCAAAAAUAGGCAAUCUGAAGCACCUGUCCUUCCUAUCACUUAGUAGAAACUCCUUCACAAAUAUCACAAAAGCUUUGCAUGCCCUUUAA